GCGCGUGCGCAGUGUGCGGGUCGGCGGGGCGUGCAACGCAAUGCAAUGCAACGCAAUGCAAUGCAACGCAACGCAAUGCAACGCAAUGCAACGCAAUGCAAUGCAAUGCAAUGCUAGACGAGGGCGUGCACAAGGAGGGCUGCAGCCCCAGCAGCCUCUCGCUGCGCUCCCACAGCUCUCGUGCUGCAGCAUCAUCCCUGCCCUGAGCACAGGGCUGCAGCGGGCGGCAGUCAGCAAAGUAGCAGCCACUGAAGGGCUGCAGGCCGUCCUGCGUGGCACAGAACAGCACCGUGCGGGCGCCUUCAGCUGCACUGCGGAAACAGAACCGGGACAGCGGGGUCCAUAGAGGCUGCAGCCAUAGCGGGGUGUGACGGAACAGCUGCGUGUGGACAAAACCUGCAGGGAGAAGAGAGGGAGCGUGUGAUGCAGCAGGUAAUGGACCUGCCAGCAAAGGGACACUGCAUGCAAAGCAGCCUGCUGUGCAGUGUUGCAGCGUGCAAGCGGAUGCACUGUGCAAAGAGACACGGCGUGCAAAGGGAUGUGGUGUGCAAAGGGAGGUGUUGCAUGAAGGGCUGUGGCAUGCAAAAGGAUGCAAAAGGUGAGCUGUGGGCAGGGUGUGCUGCACAGAGGGGUGCUCCAUGCACCGUGCAAUGGGAUGCAUCGUGCAAAAGUUGAACUGUGUAAAAGAUGCACAGCACAGAGGGAUGCACCGUGCAAAGGGAACACUGUGCAAAGGGAUGCUCUAUGUGAAGGGGUGCUCCAUGCAAGCAUGCAACAAGCAAACUGCUAAACUGCACAUACCUGGAUGCACAGCAUAGGCGGUGACCCCGGUGCCCUGCAGACGCGCUGCCAGCUGCCGUGCAUGCAGCACAUUGGCCAGCUUGCUGUUACAGUAAUCCUGGAAGGCAGCAAAGGGGCCGGGGGGUGGUUGGCCGAGCUUGGCCAUGCACAGACGUCCAGCUUGGUGUGCAGAGGAGGCGACGAUGAGCACACGGCUCGGGGCGCUGCUCUGCAGGCGCUGCAGCAGCAGUUGGGUCAGCAGGAAAUGGCCCAGGUGGUUCACCUGGAAGGGGAGGCUGAAACCAUCCUCUGUGGUGCCCCCGGCGCUCACUCCUGUGUGUGCAGUGCAUGGUGUGGGUGCUGGGUUUGGGGUUUCCCAUGCAAUGCAGUGCUGUGCUGCUCACCUGCGUUGUUGAUGAGGAGGUGCAGGUUGGGCUCCUGCUGCAGGAAGGCGGCGGCGAAGGCGUGCACCGAGCGGAGGCUGCUGAGGUCCAGUGGCAUGAAGAGCACCUCGGGGUUCCCUGUGUCCUGCAGUGGGGGUGGAGGGGGCAGGAGCUGCUCUUGAGGCUUUAGGGGGCUGCAGGGAAUGGCUAUGGGGCGGCCUGAGGGGGGGGUAUGCUGGGGGUGGCUCCAUAUGGGUGUCCUAGAGAUGCACUGGGGGUGUGGGAGGGGGGGUUACAGUGGGAUGUCCCAUGGGGAUGCACCAUAUAUAUCAGGCGUGUGCCAAGGGGGGUCCUAGGGGUGCUCAGGGAUGUGUCAUGGGGUCCUAAGAGUGCACAAGGGGCUGAAGGGGGACGCUGUGGGGAGGGUGUGCACUGGGGAGAACCCAUAGAGGUGUCCUAAGGGGUGCACUGAGGUGGGGGUGUACUGGGGAUGUUCAGCAGGGUGUCCAGGGAUGUGCUAUGGGGGUAUUUUAGGGAUGCACGUGGAGGUAUUUGGGGGUGCUUGUGGUGUGGGUACAUCAGGGCUGUGCUACGGGGGUGUCCUAUGGGAGCAUCCCUAAGGCAUCCAUUCCUUCAGCACCUCCACAGUGCACCCCUGGGGGAGCUGAAGGGGUCAUGCCUUAGGGUCCUCCAGGGUGCACUGGGGGUAGACUGGGAACAUCCCAUGGGGGCAUCCCAGUGACCCCCCAGAUCCCCUCUUUGUGCCCCUACUUUCUCCUCCCCUCACCCCCCCCAGCUCUCACCCUACGGAUGCGCCACGCAGCCUCCUCUCCGCGCACUGCAUUACGUGUUGCCAGCACCACGCGUGCCCCGCACCGUGCCAGCUCCCGCGCCACGGCCUCCCCGAUCCCACUGCUUCCCCCUGCAGAGCAGAGCACAACGUGCAGCUGUUAUGCAUAUGUGCAGCCGUGCAGCAGCACUAAGCACACAGCGCUCACCGGUGACGAUGGCGGUGCGGCCGUGCAGAGCAGGGAGGGGGAAUGGCGGCACAGGGCUGCGUAGGGUGAAGCGGAGCAGGGCACAGAGCAGCAGGGCACAGAGCAGGGAACAGAGCAGCCACCAGCCCGUCAUCCUGCAGCUGCAGGAAGGGGAGGAGAUAAAGAGGGUUGUGCCGCUCGGAGCAGAGCGUUGCAACAGCUUCAUGCAGGAAAUGGGUGGAAAAGCCAAUGAAACGGGCAAAGUCCCUGCAGGGACAUGGAGAGCUGGAGGUCACGGCAGCCCCGUGGUGUCACAGGGCAGCAACUCCAUGUGCUGGUUCUUCUGCAGCCCCCCCCAUCCCCAAUCCUGCUUACAGAGCGACACAGACAGGCAGAAAACAAUGUGAAUUUUCUUGUUUUUAUAUACAGAAUACAGGAAAGUUUCUGUAAAGUCUAAAACGUUACCAUUACUCUGUACAGUGGAGCUUAGCUGGCCUGCUGGGGGGGAGGGUGUGGGGAAAGGGGGGGGUGAAGGGGAGGCAUAUAAACAAAAGAGACAGAGAGGGCUUACGACAAACGAGCUGCUACAAUAGACAAGUCGGGGGGACGUCAUACCACAUGUAGCACUGUACACAGCUUUAAAACAUUGAAAAUGCCAUCACGGAUGUAUUUACACAGAAUCCGACGCUUUUUCCUUAUUCGAAAGAAGAAAUAGAAACAAAAUUAAAGGAGGGUGGACACCAGGAAAAGGAUCCGUUUCUCACUGCCCGAUACACGGUAGCUACUGUAGUGCAACCAGAGCUGGGGGGGAGGGGAAGGGAAAGGGAUGGGAAACGAAGGAGAGCGCUUCUUUACAUUAAAUAAAACAAUGAUAUUGUAUAGAUUUUGCUGUAUGAAAACUGUAUUUCUCUUUCAAUAUAAAACUAUCGUCACUGGCACAAAAUAGAACAAGUUUUCUGAGUUAUUUUACAACUGCGUGGGGUUAGGAGACGUGGCACAGAGAGGCCUUGGGGGGGGGGGUCGGUCGGGAGCCCCUCGCUCCGCCACAACGGCUGCUCUGGCUGCAGUUUUAAUUCCUUUUAAAAUGAAAUGUAUAGUACAAAUAUAUGUGCAAAUGCCCCUAAAACUUGAGCC